rnacentral:rRNA from 1 species
GACAGAGGUGCCGAGCGUUAGGCGGAAUCACUGGGCUUAAAGCGUGUGUAGGCGGAUCGUUAAGUGUCUUGUGAAAUCCCACGGCUCAACCGUGGAAUGGCUGGGCAUACUGGCGAUCUUGAGCGGCCUAGGGGCAGAUGGAACAAGUGGUGGAGCGGUGAAAUGCGUAGAUAUCACUUGGAACGCCAAAGGUGAAGACAGUCUGCUGGGGGCCUGCUGACGCUGAGACACGAAAGCCAGGGGAGCGAACGGG